GCGAAUGUGAAAGCCUUAAUGUCCAAUUGAACUCCGCUGAGCGGCCCUUCGAGUUUUGCACUGCGAGUAAUGUUUCAAGUUUUGCUGCGGGGUAUGUUAUCGAGCUUUGCGAGUAAUUAG
rnacentral:lncRNA from 1 species